rnacentral:rRNA from 1 species
GACGAACGCUGGCGGCGCGCCUAACACAUGCAAGUCGAACGAGCGAGCGAGAGCUUGCUUUCUCGAGCGAGUGGCGAACGGGUGAGUAACGCGUGAGGAACCUGCCUCAAAGAGGGGGACAACAGUUGGAAACGACUGCUAAUACCGCAUAAGCCCACGGUGCCGCAUGGCACAGAGGGAAAAGGAGCAAUCCGCUUUGAGAUGGCCUCGCGUCCGAUUAGCUAGUUGGUGAGGUAAUGGCCUACCAAGGCGACGAUCGGUAGCCGGACUGAGAGGUUGAACGGCCACAUUGGGACUGAGACACGGCCCAGACUCCUACGGGAGGCAGCAGUGGGGAAUAUUGCACAAUGGGGGAAACCCUGAUGCAGCGACGCCGCGUGGAGGAAGAAGGUCUUCGGAUUGUAAACUCCUGUUGUUGGGGAAGAUAAUGACGGUACCCAACAAGGAAGUGACGGCUAACUACGUA